CCGUUUCAAUUUGCGUUGGAUUAAUAAAGUGAACAUGAGUAUCGAUCGCACCAGCUGUAACAAUCAAACCUUCUCCAGCGAUGAUUUCUGUAGAAGCACCAAUGACGAUAUCCACAUUAUCCUGUACUAAAGGAUUUCCCGCUUUUCCGAUUCCAGCGAUUUUCCCGUCACGAAUGGCAAUGUCUGCUUUAACGAUCCCUGUAUAGUCCAAGAUUACCGCAUUUGUAAUUACGACAUCUGGAACGUUAUCAUCUUUUCGAGUGGCAAGUGGAUGUUGUCCCAUCCCGUCACGA
rfam:Bacillus sp. FJAT-27997 Scaffold1, whole genome shotgun sequence.